AUAGACUCUAGAACAUCCGUCCAAUUUGACUCACAUUGAUUUGAUUUCGCAAAUCAAAUUGCCAAUGUUACGGUGUGUGUGUGUGUGUGUGUGUGUGUGUGUGUGUGUGUGUGUGUGUGUGUGUGUGUGUGUGUGUGUGUGUGUGUGUGUAAUUAUUCUUCCUAAAGGGGUGAGGCUCUGGUGAGGUACGCUCUGGCAGCAGCAACAGGUCUGGUUGUGGCACAGAAUAAUGUUGCCUACCUAUGUGAGGAAAUGAAGGAGAGCUAUGACUGUCAAUGGAUCUAUUACAACCAUUCCACAAUGAAUUAUGCCCCACAUGACUCUGGUUUCCUGAAGAUGGUAGACUACUGCUAAUCUAGCAGCAUGCAUGGAGCUGUUGAUCAGGCCAUAUCAGUGUACAACAGAUCAGCCCUUGCAGCUAGUUCCCAGAGUGUCGCCAAGUGGACAUCCCACCUAGACAACGUAGACAUACGGCUGACUGUGCAGUAAAGGACAGGACAGGGACAUCCCCUGUCAUUCAAGCAGAAUUUAAAUGGACAGCAGGAUCAGAAUGAGCCCAUCAGAAGAGAAGACAUGUCUAGAACUGUUAGAAUGGCCCAGGGUCUACACCCUUAGAAAAAAUAAG
rnacentral:lncRNA from 8 species